rnacentral:rRNA from 1 species
CAGCACCUCAAGUGGUCAGGAUGAUUAUUGGGCCUGAAGCAUCCGUAGCCGGCGCUGUAAGUUUUCGGUUAAAUCUGUACGCUCAACGUACAGGCUGCCGGGAAUACUGCAGCGCUAGGGAGUGGGAGAGGUAGACGGUACUCGGUAGGAAGGGGUAAAAUCCUUUGAUCUAUUGAUGACCACCUGUGGCGAAGGCGGUCUACCAGAACACGUCCGACGGUGAGGGAUGAAAGCUGGGGGAGCAAACCGGAUUAGAGACCCGAGUAGUCC